rnacentral:rRNA from 1 species
UACGUAGGGUGCGAGCGUUAAUCGGAGUUACUGGGCGUAAAGGGCGCGUAGGCGGCGUUCCAAGUUAGGCGUGAAAGCCCCGGGCCCAACCUGGGAACUGCAUCCAAAACUGGCGAGCUAGAGUAUGGCAGAGGGUGGUGGAAUUUCCUGUGUAGCGGUGAAAUGCGUAGAUAUAGGAAGGAACACCAGUGGCGAAGGCGACCACCUGGGCCUGCACUGACGCUCAUGCACGAAAGCGUGGGGAGCAAACAGG